UGGUUCAUGUGCUUGGCUGAUAAGCCAAUGGUGCGAAGCUACCAUCUGAGGGAUUAUGACUGAACGCCUCUAAGUCAGAAUCCCGCCUGGAAAGCGACGAUGCAUUCGUGCCUCGGCCUCGAGAGGCGUAGCUAGACGGCCGUGUGGCCGUGGAAAGAGCCCGAUUCCGACCCGAGAGGCCGCGGCAAGAGGCGGCCUCGAAGUCGGUGGAUCCUCCUGCUCGAAAGGCGGGGUGCUAAACCAUUCGCAGACGACCUAGUUGAAGAUCGGGGUGUCGUGAUCACUAGAGCAGUACAUCUCACUGCGAUUUGUUGAGAGUAAGCCUCAAGAUCUGUCGGUUUGU
rnacentral:ncRNA from 1 species